GAGUAGUGCAACACAACGUGCACCGCGCUGUAGGCUGUCAGAACCCUGGAUCACGUUAAACCCCUGUUCGUGCAUCUAGCAUAGUGCGUCGGAUAGAGUCAUACGCUGCAAGGCCGCAAAAUCGUAGAAGGAUGGGCCGUUCAGUUCUCUCUCACUUUCUCAAUCUCUCGAACCCCUCUCCACGCUUCACAUCUUCACUUGUAAUUUCAAGCAGGUCGUCUGGCGCAAUUCCAAGUAAAUUAUUGAAAAAAUCUGGAUCAAUUGAUCAGCAUUGUCUUCUAAACAGACAAAUCAGGACAGGUUUUCGAUGCUGUUGCAGUAUCUCGGUUUCGCAGCCUGCUGGCCAGGAGAGUUCUUCAAGCCCUCUGAGGAAGAGGAUAGUGUCUGGGGUUCAGCCAACUGGGACUAUACACCUAGGAAAUUAUCUUGGUGCUAUAAAAAAUUGGAUCCCACUUCAGAAUACAUAUGAUACUUUCUUCUUUAUUGUGGACCUCCAUGCGAUAACAUUACCUUAUGAAACACAACAAUUAUUUAAAGCAACGAGGGAUACAGCAGCGAUUUAUUUGGCAUGUGGUGUGGACACCUCCAAGGCCUCUGUCUUUGUUCAGUCUCAUGUUCGUGCCCAUUCAGAAUUGAUGUGGUUACUGAGUUCUGCUACUCCAAUUGGUUGGUUGAACAAAAUGAUUCAGUUCAAAGAGAAAUCCCGGAAAGUGGGAGAUGAAAAUGUUGGGGUUGCCCUUCUGACUUAUCCUGUUCUCAUGGCUUCUGAUAUUCUUUUAUAUCAGUCUGAUUUUGUCCCAGUUGGGGAGGAUCAGAAGCAGCAUCUGGAACUGACCCGUGAGCUGGCUGAACGUGUUAAUUAUUUAUAUGGAGGAAGGAAGUGGAAGAAAUUGGGAGGGCGAGGAGGUGCAAUUUUUAAGGUUCCUGAGCCCCUUAUUCCACCAGAAGGAGCACGUGUAAUGUCCCUUACAGAUGGUUGUUCCAAGAUGUCCAAGUCUGCUUCUUCAGAUCAGUCUCGUAUCAACCUUCUUGACCCAAAAGAUGUAAUUGCAAACAAGAUCAAACGUUGUAAAACUGACUCAUUUCCUGGCCUGGAAUUUGACAAUCCUGAGCGACCUGAAUGCAACAACCUUCUUACAAUUUAUCAGCUAAUGUCAGGCAGGACAAAAGAGGAAGUUGCGCAGGAAUGCCAAGGUAUGAACUGGGGUGUGUUCAAGAGAAUCCUAACGGAUGCAUUGAUUGAUCAUCUACAUCCCAUCCAGGUUCGCUACGAGGAAAUUAUGUCUGAUUCAGCUUAUUUGGAUAGGCUCUUGGCAGAGGGUGCCACAAAAGCUGCAGAUAUAGCUGAUGCUACUCUCAAUAAUGUCUAUCAGGCGAUGGGAUUCUUGCGAAGAUGAGCAGAACUGAUGCUGCAAUAAGAAUUUAUGUGGAAAGACCUCUAAGAAAGUGACCUUAAAACUAACUUUUGGAUGAUCCAUUGUUGCCCACAAGUUUUGGACUAUAUACAUAAGCAUAUUCUUGAUGAGAAAAAAGGUUAUGUGAUGGGUUGGCCCGAUAAAUUCAUUGAUGCAGUUGCCUCAGCCUCUCCUGUCUGGACAGAUGGGCAUGUAGUACUUGGUUUGAGUGUGGGUGUUUACUUGAUUUAUUGUUAACAAUGGUGCCUAAGCUACAAAAGGUUAAGUCUUAUAGUGUCUGAAGCUACAUCACAAUUAUGAUUAUGAGAUCUCUUUACCAGAAGAAUUUGUUUCAUAGGCAAGCAGUUGCAGACAAGAUAAUUUAUGAUAGCUCCCAACCCUAAUCUCCCAUUAGAAUUUCAGGUUUUUUAAUUUUGUGGAAACUUCAUUUGCCUAAUGGGUAAUAGUUUUGUGAAUUGCUCAUCUCAUUGUCUGCUUACUCUUCAGGUUCUUUUUACCAUUUGUUUCUUUAUUAUAUAUAUAUUAUGGAUUCCAUUUCCCACUUA